CUAAGUAUGUGCCUGAUAACUCAGUUAACUUCCUUCUUAGGCUUCCCUCUUGCCGUUAAUACAUUUGGGGUUAGUUCUCAAGUUAAUAUGAGAGAAAAAGUCCCCAAGAACUCCGACCUUGGAAGGUCCUCGGAAGCCAAUCCUUUAAUAUACUAUCACAGCUACUGAUCAUUGCCGGCACCUCCUACCCCACUGGCAUACUUUCUUAAAGAAUGUCUUUGGUCAAUGACUUAAUGGCCAUAGAGGUGCCGUCAUGUGGACAGAGGCUAUGAUGCCAGAGUUAGCUGCUUGAUGACCAUUUGAGGUCAGCAGAGGCCAUAGUAUUACAGAUAGUAAAAGACCCCAAUAUAUGGAGAGGGAAAGCAAAGGCAGGAGCCUGAAUAUAUCCAGUGUAUUUAUGGGCUGUCAGUUCUGCGUCUGGUGCCAGGAAAUCCAAACCUUACAGAUGCCCCCAUAAUAUGAAGGCUUCCAAGGGUGCCAGGCUCAGUUGGUGAAGCAUGCCACUCUUGAUCUCAGGGUUAUAGGUUCGAGCCCCACAUUGGGUAUAGACAUUACUAACAUAAAUACAAUCUUUAAAAAAAACAAAGGAAGGCUUCCAGCACAGGCCAAAACCUCUGGGCCCUGAGCAUUAGUCCCAUUGCCAUUCCAGUCACAUAACCCCAGGCAGGCAGCCCACCCCACAUCUAGCCAUAAGAUCAAAAGCUGCAGACUAGCCCCUCAUCCAAAAUUAGGCAUUAAGCAUCCUCCCUAUUUGUCACAUCGCUUCCUUCACUCCAUCACUCCCAUAGAGCCUCUGGACCCCUUCUCCUACAUGGCUGUCUUGUAUACACUUAUCCCAUGCUUCCCAGAGACCAUUAAAUGAACCUCAGUACUAAAUUGAUCUUCUACAUUGCUUUUCACUAACUCAUCUAGGUAGACAAGACCUCAGGACCUUUCUACCUCCUAAACCCAUCACUGUCAUUGACCUAGGUGCAGAGGGAAAGUGACCCAAGGACCAGGACACCUAAUCUACAAACCCCAAGCUCCAAAUGAAUAGUCCUUUUAUCUCCUCACAUAGCAAUAACAAGGUUCAGAAGUCUCAGUACCAUCAAACCAGGUUUAGAUAGACCUACUUUAUAAAGAAACUAGUUUAUAGCUUGGACUUGGGGAAAGAGAAGGAGAAACCACCAUUUUCUCUUCCCAAUUUUCCUUGUACCUAGCUUCACAACUUACCAACCAACACUCCUCUGAUUCGGAAAUCAGAUUGGUAGGUCUUAGGAAAGAACUACAUGAAGAGAAGCCAAGCAGUGCCCCAAAGGAACACUGACCUCAACUACCUUCUCGGUGACUUCAAAGCUCCAAUGAUCAAUAUUUGCUCCCAAUUUAGCAUCUCACAGAGGAUUUCCUCCUAACCCUAGAAUAGUCUGGCCUGGUUUCUGCUCUCUGGUUAAUUAUCCACAGAGACUAACCAGAGGUCUGAACUCCAGUACCCCAAAAUACAAGAGGCAUUUUCAGGGUGAGGCUACCAAAGAGUAAUUAUUGAGUGGCCAUAAGGGUAACCUAUUUUGGAGCUCUAGUCACCGGCGGGAGGGUGGGAAACAGCAAAGCUCUAAGCCUCUUGACACCAUGUCCUGGAGCCUAGUGUUAUGACUACUUUAUGGACUUGUUUUGAAGUUGUUUAGUCCUGACAUCCAGUCCUAUAACGCCAGUGAGAAAGCCCAGGGAUCAGGACUAAAUGUGAUCUCCCAGAAGCUAGCUUAGAAUCUCUUCCUAAACGUGAAUGGGACCUGGGAGGAGAGAAGAAAGUUAAGGGAGGAUUGGCAUGAAUAAAGCAGCCAAAUGAGCUUUAGGUCUAAAUACAACUAAGUGCCUGAGAACUAGUGGGGCAGUGGAGAGAAGGCUGCGCACUGAGGUCAUCUUGACCUUGGGAGGACCUCUUUAAAAUGGACAGAGGUGAUGGUGCCCCCUGGUGGCUAAGGGUAAGUGGGAAAAUGCAGCCUAGGCUUCAACUGAAAAGGCCUGCAUAAGUAGAUCAAACUCCUGUAUUUAAUGGGUAACUAAAAUUUAUUGAAUACUCAUAAUUUCCAGGUACUAUCUAAAUGUGGUACAUGCACUAUCUUAAUUAAUCCUCACAAAAACUCUAAAGGAUGUAGGUAAUGUUGGUAUCUCUAACAUUAGUUAGUAUACAGAGGGGGAAACCAAGGUUUAGAUAAAGUAUUCUGCUCAGGACCAUAGCUUGUAAUUGCCCAGAAGCUGUACCUUAACUACUAAGCUGUACUGUUUAUAUGGUGAUGACUAUGAAUUAUCAGCUGUAACUCAGGAAGGGGACUUCUGAAUCACUGUUAAUGGUCUUCUGGGCACAUCAACUCAGUGUGUUCUGUAUUUUAAAUAUUUUCUAAAAUAAGGAAUAAUCUUACUCAACUAUAAAAUGUUUGUACAUCCAUACCUGAAAUACAUGAUAAAUUGGUGACCCUCCCAGAAUAUAUAAAGGUAGGAGAGAGAAACACUUAACACCUAAAAUGACUGGUGGGGUAGAAUGGGUUUCUUAUUACAAUCAGUCUGGAAAAAUAUAAUCAGUCUGAAAGGAGGAUAUAAUACUUUUUCACUCCCUCCCCCCCGCCCAGUGCUUUUUCAUUAUUGAUUAUUAGAGUCAGAGGGCAUGGUAGUUUUCAAGCAAAAGUACUAGUGUACACAGCCACUAGGAACUACAUGGAGACUCCACUAUAGGAAUGAGAUAGAAAGACCCAUUGGCCUAGGGAUAAGACAAUUGCUAAGGUUGAAGUCUUGAUUCCCUAAGACACAAUCUCUUUGAACUUAGUUUCUUCAUCUGUAAAAAUGGGAGCAACAUCUAUUUCUUAGAAUUGUAGAGAUUAGGUAAGGUGUAUGUGCUUGUUAUAGGAGUAUUCAACAUAAACUAGUUCCUUUGCCCUUGCUAUUCAUCCCUGUCCUGUAUUUAAAGGAUUCUUGUCCUUGCUAUGAAUCCUUUUUAACAGCAUAAAAAUUCUCUAAAAUUUAUUUUUUAAUUUUUUUUUAAUGUUUAUUUAUUUUUGAGACAGAGAGAGACAGAGCAUGAACGGGGGAGGGUCAGAGAGAGAGGGAGACAUAGAAUCCGAAGCAGGCUCCAGGCUCUGAGCUGUCAGCACAGAGCCCGAUGCGGGGCUCGAACUCACGGACCGUGAGAUCGUGACCUGAGCCAAAGUCGGACGCUUAACCGACUGAGCCACCCAAGAGCCCCUCUAAAAUUUAUUUUUAAAGGACUGGGUUUUCACAUGAUAAAUCUCCUACUCACAUCCAGAUAUUAUUGAACACUGUAUUCGAGAAUGUUUCUUUCAGUUCUAACAUUUUACUGAUAAACUCAUUUAGAAGGCAUCUAGAGCUUAAGGUGUAACCAGAUAUGCAAGGUUAGCAUUUGAUCUACCAAAAUACUGGGCUAGAAUCAUUUGUUGUAGGGAGCCUCCAGAAACAUUCAGAUAAAUUCAUGGAUUCCUUGUGGUAACUCAUGACAUGAAUAAAGAGAUGUGCAAAGAGUAUCCUCCUAACCUUCUGAGGAUCAAGUCAAGGAGGAUAAUGUCCACUCUUCCCUAUGUAGGACACACCCCUGUGUAGCAAUGGCAAAGACUGUUGAGCUGGAGAGUUCUUAACAGCUGUACCUUGACAGACUAGUGAGGUGUAUCACAAGUAAUUUAUUACCAACUAACAUUACUUUAUUAAAGCUUGUGAAUUAUUUGCUAUUUUGUACAUUAAAACAAUUUUGAGUUCCCUAUAGAGUACUUCCGCACUUGUGAUAAGCUCUCUGAUGGAAGAGUUAAGUUUUUAGACAGGAAGCAGGCAAUGGACAGAAUCCUGGGUAUACUCACAGGGGUAUGAAGAAUGUGAACAUUAUUCAUGUGCAUCACAGAAGAAAAAAUAGUAACAGCUGGUCUGGAAAACAGACUUGACAGGAUACCGCAUUUCUUAUGGCUGAUGAGAGAAGAAGGAAUUAACACUAGAACCUGAGUUGUCAACUAAUAUCAGGAUACUUGCUCUGAACUAGUUCAUGUGUUAGAUUUCUCAGGGAUUUGUGACAUGAAAGCCUUGUUGAACACAUUCGCUUUGUGUGUACAGGGUAUUAAGAGAAAAAAAAGACUUAAAACAGAAGCUACUUUACAGCUAUAUUAGAUCAUAUUGACAGUACGGAACAUUAGCCUCUUGAUCCAAUUUUGCCACUAAAUACAGACCUUCAGGACCUGUGGUAUCUCUAGGCCUCAGUUUCUUCAUCUGUAAAAUGGGCAGAGAUGAACUAUAUGACCUCCAAGUUCCCUUUACAUUCUAAAAUGCUUAAUUUAAAAAGUCUUCAAAAUGUUUAUUCAGUUAUUCUUUCCCUGAGGUAUUCCUGGGAUAGAAGGGUUCCAUUCCAAACCCUGAGAUAGACAUACCUCUGGAUCAAGGUGUUUAAGAAGCUCCUCAAAGAAGGAAAUGGCCAGGACACAAAGGAGCUCCUCUGUUCCAGCGCUUGAGGACCCGGAUUCCGCCCCCAACCUUCCCCCCCCCCCGCCCCCCCGCGGUGAGUGAGAGCGCGAGCGAGGGACUUGGGGCUCAGUCCCAGACACUACGUCGACAGGUGAGGACCCAGAUGUUGGUACUUAAGCGUUGGCUGCCUAGGGCUCACAGGGCUAUGUGGCAGCUGCGGAACGGAGGUUGGCGAUUAAGUGAGGACGGAAGGCACAGAGAAGCUGCCGGCAAGGCAAGCAGCUGAUUCAGGCCAGGAGGCAGAAAGGUGGUGGGCAGAAGAACACUCUAUACCUGGGGCCUAUUUGGACCCACCACCUUCGAUUACUGCAUCCCCACCUCCAGCCUAUAGCUUUCCCGUGCGGACCAGCCCCCUUUCUGAGGACGCCGCCAUUGCCUUCGCUCCAGUCCAUUCCAGACCCUCAGUGCCACUCGCAUCCGUCCCACCUCUGCUCCCAGGGCCGCCGCCGUGGCCCAGGCGCUCGAAGACGGCCGGACUCUCACUUUACUCCCGACCGUAGCACCUGGCUGCGGGGGAGCGAGGCUGUCCAGGCUUCUCCAGAGCGCUCCGCCACUUUCCAGGCAAGGGUGACCCAGCGACUGCCUGACCCAGCUCCCCGCACUCUAAGCGGCCGUCUACGCACGGCUCCGAAGCGCUGCCGUGCGAGCCCUACACGGGAGACCGACCCCAAACCCGCCCCUCCAAACUCUCGCGCGAACAGGCAGCUCCGGAGCGGCUUCCAGGCUGCGAGGACCCCGGUGGAUCGCAGAAGGACCCAGACUUGCGUGGCGAGCAGCUCCACGUGACCACCAGGGGUCAGCCGAAGAAUAGGAGUGGCCUGAAGCAAGGACAGAGCCGUUUGGCAUAAGGACGCGGUCAGAGGCACGUGGGUGUGCCAGUCUAGGUGGGCUAGGACCUUCCAAAAGAAAGGUACCCUGCUAGCCUGUGAGAAGCCCUGGUUUCAAUACCCCGCAAACUACAUCUCCCAGGAAGCACCGCAGCACUUCACAGAUCCUGUUAGUAGCUACAAGUCUUCAGAUAACCUAAGACCUGCAGUUUGUCAGUUUCCCCAACUUUCCUUUUCCGAGGAAACCAUACUGUGCAUCUUAAAAGAAUCUGGUCUUAAGGUAGUAGGCAGCCAUAGCAAAGAGCUAAAAAUAACUGUCCAGCAAAGACAUAACUAUAUUCCUCCAAUAACCUUAACUUUGGACUCCAGAGCUUCACCUUCAUUUCUAGGUGGAAAUUUGAACGCUUGUUUUUUUCCAGUUGUUAUAGAAAGCCAACACAAAGAAAGGAGAGGAGAGCUUAAGUCAGAGCAUCCCACACUUGCAGGUCUCUAGUGACAUAGAUGACAAGCCAGUAAUACUUUUUUUUUUUUUAAUUUUAUAAAACAUGCAUUUUAAAACAAAACUUUAAAAAAUAACAAAACUUGGGACAGGAGAGUGGAUGGAAGACAGAUGCUUCUCAGCUGUCAGCAGGAGUGAAGACAGCAGUCAAGCUGUGUCUAGGACCCAAAGGCCCUUUUGGCAAUGAUGGUGUUGGCAAUACUGGUUUGCUAGGGCCACCAAUAUUCGAUGUCCUGGUCCAUCCAGGCAUCUCUCAAGCAGUCAGAGACUUGAACUCUCUUGAGCUACUGUUGUAUCCUAUCACUAACCAGGACUUCAGUCCUUAGCCAACUAGGAACUGAGAGUGCUGGUUCCAGGAGCGUUUUUUUGCCUGGAUAUUAAUUACCCAGGAUAUUUAUUGAGAAUAUCAAUUUCUUUCCAUUUGGGUCAAUUCUAGACUCUGUUCCUGGCCCGCUAUUUUGCAAAGAAUGAAAAAGGAAUCUGGCACCUCUUCCCUUUACAGCAACUCUGCUGCAUUCCAGUUCUAUUAAUAGCACCAUCUGUAGACCCUGAGCAGGUCCAAUUCUGGAAGCGGGCGAGGACUAGCCAACUUGGGAAGCCAUCUCCCAGUUCUGGGGCACAGAACACUGAGGGGAGAGGAGUAGUUCACUGGGAGAGGAUGAGGUCAGAGCGCCAACACUGAGGAGAAGACAGCUGCAUCUGUCAGAGACAAAAUCAAGAGCAUUGACUCUUAAGGUGAGUGGAGAAAAAGUGCCUGGAAUACUUUUUAUGAAGGAAAAGAGGGCAAACCUGCCCCAAACAUUUUAGAAUUAGGCAGGAGGAGGUUAGGAUCAGUGCAGACUUUCAAGAAUACAAUCUAUUUCACUGAAUGUUGGGAGGAUUAAAUGCUUUGUAAACUACUGAGUGCUUUACAAAUGUAAGGUAGAGUUGGUACAAUUGUUAACAUCACCAUCAUCAUUAUUAUUAUCAUGAGUAUAAUCUUCACAUAUGCAAUCAAAACCCACCCUGUCCACUCUCCCUUGUCCCAUCCCAGGCCUUACUCUUGGGACUGGUCUGACCCUCAGGCUCAGGAACCUUCCAGUCCAUCUUUCGGCCCUUCUCAUAAAGACCCUUGAGCACUUUGUGGAAGGAUUCCGGCUCUGUGCCAUUUUUGCUUAGCUCCAGAUACUUUCGGUAGAGCUGAAGGGCUGUACGGGCAUCCUCAAUACUGUCAUGGGUUUCCCCUUGAAUCUUCAGGUCUGAGGGAAUUAGAGGUGGAAUAGUUUGGAACCUAGCAAAGGAAGGUAAGAAUAUAUCCCAUACUCACAUCCCCUACUCCCAAUAACCAAUAAAAAAAAACUUGACUACCCGUAAGGGAAAAAGCCAAACACCAUUCCUAGUGCAGCGGGAUACUGAAGUUACUUAAAUCCAUUCAUAACUCUCACCACUAAGGGUCCUCCCUACUCCCUUCAUUCCAACACUUUUUCCUGCUCUUAAUGAGCACCAUAAGGGCCUACAAGGUACACCAACUCACCUAGGAAGUACCAAGCAAGGAACCGCAGGGAAAUCAUUCGUUUUCGGGGCAUAUGAAAGAGAUAGACAGUGUCAAGGACUUGGUCCUUGGGCACCUGGCAGAGAUAAAAGAGUGGGAGACUGAAGGUAGGUGAUCCAUAACUUCUCAUUCUCCAAAAGCACAAUGUAUACCCUAAAGGGCCCAUAUUCAAAGGAAACUUUUAAAAACAGCCCUGCCCGAACCAUGAGGUUGAUGACCCGGAAGUCCUUCUGCAGACCAUGACCCACAAACUUGACUCCAAUGUCUAUAAGAAAACGAAGCUUUAAGUAGGUAGACUUGAGAGUUGUGAGGUGCUUAGAGGAAAUCUUGGCAUCUAGGUCUCCUGGCUUAAUCCCCGAGUACUGAGUCAAGUAAUCCACCACCUAGGCAUAGAGAAAAGGAGAAGUUGCUCACGAAGUGAGGUGCGGAGUCUCUCCCUGCUACUCUUCCCUGGGUUCUAGAGCACUCUACAUAAGCACAAGGUCUGUCUCACUUGUACCUCCUAGUACAAGAUAUCCUAGUACCUGCUCCUGGGUAGAGAUGUAGUCAUCAAUGAAGGGGAUACCCUCAUUGGGUCCCUGGCCUCGAACACAAGUAAUCCUUGCUACUGACAUCUGGCUUGGUUUGAUGGUAGACUUGGUGCCAUCACUGCGUAACUCUGCUUCCUCCUACAGGAGAAGAGUUGAUAAGGAAAUCAGAGAAUAGCUUGUGAUGCCUAAUAUCUCCAGAGUUCUGUGCCAACACCACACCCUUUUGGUCUUGGUUACCUCAUUAAGAGUGACAAACUCAGCAUCCAGGCCCACCAGGUCCCCAACCUGCGGCAUCUCAUUCAGCAUCAGUGGAAUAAAGGUAGUAUGUGUUUUCCGCUGCUUCCGUGCUAGCGAGGCUUCAGCCAGCAGGACACUUGCCUCAAUAGGGUUCUUGACUGGAAGGGAAAAUCCAGAAGACAGAUGGCUAGUGAUAAGGAAGUAACCAGGGGAGGGAAACCCAGGAUGGCUGACCAGAGACUGGGUCUACACUGUGAUCUCUCAAUAAUCAAAGCAUGUGAAUAAGAAGAUUGUGUCUGCUGAACAGACAGAUGGAAUAGGUCAAAUCAGAAAACUACUAAGAAAUAUGCUAAGAGAAACAAAAAAGCAGAGAGGAAAGAAUAAGACUUUGACUUUUUUGGACUUUAGCUUAGAAAAUCCAGAAAAACAAAGUUACAGGGAAACUAUGGGUUUAAAGGCACGAAAAAGGGACCUAAUAAGAAGUCCAUCUGCAAAAGAAGAAAGUUUCACUUGGGAAGAAUGAUUAGACUCAAAAUCAAAACCUUAGCCCUUUUGAUCAGAUUCCCCCCAUCACCUCUUCCCCUCUACACUCUCAGCAUCUCCAGGUUCUAAAUUUAGAGCCUGAUGAAACAGGAAUCUCUUUAGUAUCACCCCUGGAAAUAAUAACACUGGCUACCUAUCCUAGUCUUAACAAGAUCUCUUCCAAAAGACCAAUCUAAACCGCCACACCCUUCUGUCUACUCUGUACCACUUACUGUUCAGGUUGUAUUUGGAAUUAAGAUUCCUUUUGACGUAAUAAAGGAUAGCAGGCACUUUCCAAUUCA